UAGUCCACGCCCUAAACGAUGCUAACUCGGUAUCUGCAUUAAGUAGGUAUCCUAGGGAAACCGUUAAGUUAGCCACCUGGGGAGUACGUUCGCAAGAAUGAAACUCAAAGGAAUUGACGGGGGUCCGCACAAGCGGUGGAGCAUGUGGGUUAAUUCGAUGAUACGCGAGGAACCUUACCUAGGCUCGAAUGAUUUAUGCCGUUAGAUGAAAGUUUAAUUUCCUUCGGGACAUAUAUCAAGGUGCUGCAUGGUUGUCGUCAGCUCGUGCCGUGAGGUGUUGGGUUAAGUCCCGUAACGAGCGCAACCCCUAUUGUUAGUUGCCAGCAUUAAGUUGGGGACUCUAACAAGACUGCCCGCGUAAGCGGAGAGGAAGGUGGGGAUGACGUCAAAUCAUCAUGGCCUUUAUGCCCAGGGCGACACACGUGCUACAAUGGUACAUACAGAGGGUUGCCAAGCCGCGAGGUGGAGCUAAUCCCAGAAAGUGUAUCCCAGUUCGGAUCGGAGUCUGCAACUCGA
rnacentral:rRNA from 1 species